rnacentral:rRNA from 1 species
UGGGGAAUAUUGGGCAAUGGAGGAAACUCUGACCCAGCGACGCCGCGUGCGGGAUGAAGGCCUUCGGGUUGUAAACCGCUUUCAGCAGGGAAGAAGCGAAAGUGACGGUACCUGCAGAAGAAGCACCGGCUAACUAUGUGCCAGCAGCCGCGGUAAUACAUAGGGUGCAAGCGUUGUCCGGAAUUAUUGGGCGUAAAGAGCUCGUAGGUGGUUCGUCACGUCGGAUGUGAAACUCUGGGGCUUAACCCCAGACCUGCAUUCGAUACGGGCGAGCUUGAGUAUGGUAGGGGAGUCUGGAAUUCCUGGUGUAGCGGUGGAAUGCGCAGAUAUCAGGAGGAACACCAAUGGCGAAGGCAGGACUCUGGGCCAUUACUGACACUGAGGAGCGAAAGCGUGGGGA